rnacentral:rRNA from 1 species
GAUGAACGCUGGCGGCGUGCCUAAUACAUGCAAGUCGAGCGAACAGACGAGGAGCUUGCUCCUUUGACGUGAGCGGCGGACGGGUGAGUAACACGUAGGUAACCUACCUAUAAGACGGGGAAAACUUCGGGAAACCGGAGCUAAUACCGGAGAAGAUUUCGAACCGCAGGGUUCGAUAGUGAAAGAUGGCUGUGCUAGCACGUAUAGAGGCACCUGCGCCGUAUUAGCUAGUUGGUAAGGUAACGGGCUACCAAGGCAACGAUACGUAGACGACGUGAGGGGCUGAUCGGCCGCACUGGAACGGAGCCACCGUCCAGGCUCCUACGGGAGGCAGCAGUAUGGAACCUUCCGCAAUGGGCGAGAGCCUUACGGAGCAACGCCGCGUGAGUGAUGAAGGUCUUCGGAUCGUAAUACUCUGUUAUUGGGGAAGAACAAACGUGUAAGUAACUGUGCCCGUCUUGACGGUACCUAGUCAGAAAGCCACGGCUAACUACGUG